CAGCAGCCGCGGUAAUACGAAGGGUGCAAGCGUUAAUCGGAAUUACUGGGCGUAAAGCGUGCGUAGGCGGUUUGUUAAGUCUGCUGUGAAAUCCCCGGGCUCAACCUGGGAAUGGCAGUGGAUACUGGCAAGCUAGAGUGUGUCAGAGGAUGGUGGAAUUCCCGGUGUAGCGGUGAAAUGCGUAGAGAUCGGGAGGAACAUCAGUGGCGAAGGCGGCCAUCUGGGACAACACUGACGCUGAGGCACGAAAGCGUGGGGAGCAAACAGGAUUAGAUACCCCCGUAGUCCCUGUCUCUUAUAC
rnacentral:rRNA from 1 species